GAGCAAGCUUAAGCCGUUAGGUGUAGGCGCAGCGAAAGCGAGUCUGAAUAGGGCGAAUGAGUUCGUGGGAUAAGACCCGAAAGCAGGUGAUCUAGCCAUGUCCAGGCUGAAGGUGAGGUAACACUCACUGGAGGGCCGAACCGGUGCCUGUUGAAAAAGGCUCGGAUGAGGUGUGGCUAGGGGUGAAAGGCCAAUCAAACCUGCAGAUAGCUGGUUCUCCGCGAAAUC
rnacentral:rRNA from 1 species